rnacentral:rRNA from 1 species
GAUGAACGCUGGCGGUGUGCCUAAUACAUGCAAGUCGAGCGAACAGACGAGGAGCUUACUCCUCUGACGUUAGCGGCGGACGGGUGAGUAACACGUGGAUAACCUACCUAUAAGACUGGGAUAACUUCGGGAAACCGGAGCUAAUACCGGAUAACAUGUUGAACCGCAUGGUUCAACAGUGAAAGACGGUCUUGCUGUCACUUAUAGAUGGAUCCGCGUCGCAUUAGCUAGUUGGUAAGGUAACGGCUUACCAAGGCAACGAUGCGUAGCCGACCUGAGAGGGUGAUCGGCCACACUGGAACUGAGACACGGUCCAGACUCCUACGGGAGGCAGCAGUAGGGAAUCUUCCGCAAUGGGCGAAAGCCUGACGGAGCAACGCCGCGUGAGUGAAGAAGGUCUUCGGAUCGUAAAACUCUGUUAUUAGGGAAGAACAAAUGUGUAAGUAACUGUGCACGUCCUGACGGUACCUAAUCAGAAAGCCACGGCUAACUACGUG